GAUGAACGCUGACAGAAUGCUUAACACAUGCAAGUCUACUUGAAUUUGGGUUUUUUAACUUAGAUUUGGGUGGCGGACGGGUGAGUAACGCGUAAAGAACUUGCCUCACAGCUAGGGACAACAUUUAGAAACGAAUGCUAAUACCUGAUAUUAUGAUUAUAAGGCAUCUUAGAAUUAUGAAAGCUAUAUGCGCUGUGAGAGAGCUUUGCGUCCCAUUAGCUAGUUGGAGAGGUAACGGCUCACCAAGGCGAUGAUGGGUAGCCGGCCUGAGAGGGUGAACGGCCACAAGGGGACUGAGACACGGCCCUUACUCCUACGGGAGGCAGCAUUGGGGAAUAUUGGACAAUGGACCAAGAGUCUGAUCCAGCAAUUCUGUGUGCACGAUGACGUUUUUCGGAAUGUAAAGUGCUUUCAGUUGGGAAGAAAAAAAUGACGGUACCAACAGAAGAAGUGACGGCUAAAUACGUG
rnacentral:rRNA from 1 species